AGGAAACUAAACCAUUUUUCCACCUUAGUACGGGAGACGGAAAGGGUAAUUUUAAGCAAUAGAGAAAGUACCGCAAGGGAAAGCUGAAAGAGUAAUGAAAUAAUUCAUAUAAGCACAAAAAAGCAGAGCUUAAUCCUCGUACCUUUUGCAUCAUGAUUUAGCCAGCACUACACAAGCAAAGUGACCUUUAGUUUGAAACCCCGAAACCAAGUGAGCUACCCCGGGACAGCCUGUUUGGGCCAACCCGUCUCUGUGGCAAAAGAGUGGGAAGAGCCCCGGGUAGAGGUGAUAAACCUACCGAACUUGGUGAUAGCUGGUUGCCUAAGAAGUGAAUAGAAGUUCAGCCUCGUACCCCUUUAGCCAACCAAGAAAUAUCUGAAUAAGCAUGUAAGAGAAAUACGAGAGUUAGUUGAAGGGGGUACAGCCCCUUUAAUAAAGGACACAACCUUAAAUAGGAGGAUAAGAGUCACAUUUUAUAAAACUAGUCGUUCCAGUGGGCCUAAAAGCAGCCAUCUGAAUAGAAAGCGUUAAAGCUCAAACGACAUGCAGUUUAUUAUACUGUUAAAUAGCUCAACUCCCCUAGAAGUAUUAGGCCGUUCCAUGCCCCCAUGGAAGAGACUAUGCUAGAAUGAGUAAUAGGAGGGUAUGACCCUCUCCUAGCACAAGUGUAAGCCAGAUCGGACAAACCACUGGAAAUUAACGAACCCAUAAAAAGAGGGUAAUGUGUUUACUAAAAAAAUCAAGAAAACAACACAGCGCUUAUAUCGUUAAACCCACACUGGAGUGCUAUCAAGGAAAGACUAAAAGAAAGGGAAGGAACUCGGCAAACACAAGCCUCGCCUGUUUACCAAAAACAUCGCCUCCUGCGAACCCCAAUGUAUAGGAGGUCCAGCCUGCCCGGUGACUACGAGUUUAACGGCCGCGGUAUUUUGACCGUGCAAAGGUAGCGCAAUCACUUGUCUUUUAAAUGAAGACCUGUAUGAAUGGCUAAACGAGGGCUUAACUGUCUCCCUUUUCAGG
rnacentral:rRNA from 1 species